GUCCGAAACCGGGGGGAGGUCUUCUUCACCCCAUCAUACCAAUAAAACACAUUCCACCACACAACCAUGACGUGCAUCUCUAUCAACUGCAAAGGGCUAAAUAACCCCGCUAACCUCACCAAAGCAGACAUAAUCCUUCUACAGGAGACACAUUACGCAGACACACGCCCUUUCCCUCUCCUGAGUCGCCACUUUAGGGCCUGCUACCAAGCCUACUCCAACUCAGGCAAACACAACGGAGUGGCGAUUCUCCUGAGAAAAACCUGCCCCCUCCAGAUCGCCACCACCCACAGGGACCCCAACGGCCGCUUCCUCACGGUAGCGGGCACAAUAGGCCCAGCCAAAUACGCGAUCACCUCCGUCUACGGCCCCACAAUCCCCGACCCGGGAUUCUGGCCCACCCUACAAGCCCACCUCAGCCUACACCCAAACUACCACCAGAUUAUAGGUGGAGAUUUCAACACCACGAUCGAUCCACAUAUAGACAGACUUAAACAGCCACCACAGACUUCUACACACACCCAAUCGACCAGAACCGACAAACUUAUGGCAGACUUCAUUUCUACAACCAAACUGAUAGACAUAUGGAGACUGCAACAUCC